rnacentral:piRNA from 1 species
UCCUACAAAGAUAGGACCUCGCUGCUAAUG